rnacentral:rRNA from 1 species
AAAACUUUCAACAACGGAUCUCUUGGUUCUGGCAUCGAUGAAGAACGCAGCAAAAUGCGAUAAGUAAUGUGAAUUGCAGAAUUCAGUGAAUCAUCGAAUCUUUGAACGCACAUUGCGCCCGCCAGUAUUCUGGCGGGCAUGCCUGUUCGAGCGUCAUUUCAACCCUCAAGCCCUCGGGUUUGGUGUUGGGGAUCGGCGAGCCUUCCUGGCAAGCCGGCCCCGAAAUCUAGUGGCGGUCUCGCUGCAGCCUCCAUUGCGUAGUAGUAAAACCCUCGCAACUGGAACGCGGCGCGGCCAAGCCGUUAAACCCCCAACUUCUGAAUGUUGACCUCGGAUCAGGUAGGAAUACCCGCUGAACUUAAGCAUAUCAAUAAGCGGAGGAAAAGAAACCAACAGGGAUUGCCCUAGUAACGGCGAGUGAAGCGGCAACAGCUCAAAUUUGAAAUCUGGCUCUCGGGCCCGAGUUGUAAUUUGUAGAGGAUGCUUUUGAUGCGGUGCCUUCCGAGUUCCCUGGAACGGGACGCCAUAGAGGGUGAGAGCCCCGUCUGGUUGGAUGCCAAAUCUCUGUAAAGCUCCUUCAACGAGUCGAGUAGUUUGGGAAUGCUGCUCUAAAUGGGAGGUAUAUGUCUUCUAAAGCUAAAUACCGGCCAGAGACCGAUAGCGCACAAGUAGAGUGAUCGAAAGAUGAAAAGCACUUUGAAAAGAGAGUUAAAAAGUACGUGAAAUUGUUGAAAGGGAAGCGUUUAUGACCAGACUUGGACUUGGUUAAUCAUCUGGGGUUCUCCCCAGUGCACUUUUCCAGUUCAGGCCAGCAUCAGUUUUCCCCGGGGGACAAAGGCGGCGGGAAUGUGGCUCUCUUCGGGGAGUGUUAUAGCCCGCCGUGUAAUGCCCUGGGGGGGACUGAGGUUCGCGCAUCUGCAAGGAUGCUGGCGUAAUGGUCAUCAACGACCCGUCUUGAAACACGGACC